AGCAUCGCGCGGGCUUUCUUGCUAGUGUAUACGAUGACUGAGAGGACAUGAGACGACGAGAGUAAAGAAGGGAAGUGAGGGAUAUGAGCUAUCUAAUUCAGCACACCUACCUACAUGUUAUUCGUUCCCUUCAUUAUUUCACCAACAAUGAAUAUGAACUGAUCAACUUAAAUUUUUUGCUGAACCAAACAAAAGUAACAUAAAAAGUCCAACUUUUUAUACUGAAUUAAUUAAACAGAUGAAUAAAGACACCUUUAUAUUAUACAUGGGAGGAAAAUCAAUCAUGAAAGAUAGGGCAAUAACUAUAUAGUGCCACAAUGCG
rnacentral:lncRNA from 1 species